GCCUGGGAAUUACGAGCAAAGCUUAAAACCCAAAGGACUUGACGGUGUCCUAUCCCCCCCUAGAGGAGCCUGUUCUAUAAUCGAUUAUCCCCGAUCAACCCCACCGCCCCUAGAAUCAUCAGCCUGUAUAUUUCCGUCGUAAGCCCACCAUGUGAACGCAUUCAAUGGGCCCAAAGGUUAAUAACCCAAACGUCAGGUCAAGAUGCAGCCCACGAGGCGGGAAGAAAUGGGCUACAAUCUCUACUUUAGAACACACGGAAAGCUGCAUGCAAUACAGUAGUUUAAGGCGGAUUUAGCAGUAAAAAGAAAUUAGAGCGUUCUUUUUAACCAGGCACUGGGACGUGUACAAACCGCCCGUCGCCCUCUUCAAGCUAACCUAUUUAUGUUAUUAACUAAACACAACCGCUCAGAAGAGGUAAGUCGUAACAUGGUAAGCAUACUGGAAAGUGUGCUUGGAAUAACAAAAUGUAGCUUAAUAAAAGCAUCUUGCUUACACCAAGAAUAUGUUUGUUAAACCCCUACCAUUUUGAGCUGAAAACCAAGCCCUACUAACUCAAAUGAAACAGUCACACUAAUAUAGACAAAUAAAACAUUCUUCUACCCUAGUAAAGGUGAUUAAAAAGCAUUUAGGAG
rnacentral:rRNA from 1 species